GAUGAACGCUGGCGGCGUGCCUAAUACAUGCAAGUCGAGCGAACAGAUGAGGAGCUUGCUCCUCUGACGUUAGCGGCGGACGGGUGAGUAACACGUGGAUAACCUACCUAUAAGACUGGGGUAACUUCGGGAAACCGGAGCUAAUACCGGAUAAUAUAUUGAACCGCAUGGUUCAAUAGUGAAAGACGGUUUUGCUGUCACUUAUAGAUGGAUCCGCGCCGCAUUAGCUAGUUGGUAAGGUAACGGCUUACCAAGGCAACGAUGCGUAGCCGACCUGAGAGGGUGAUCGGCCACACUGGAACUGAGACACGGUCCAGACUCCUACGGGAGGCAGCAGUAGGGAAUCUUCCGCAAUGGGCGAAAGCCUGACGGAGCAACGCCGCGUGAGUGAUGGAGGUCUUCGGAUCGUAAAACUCUGUUAUUAGGGAAGAACAAAUGUGUAAGUAACUAUGCACGUCUUGACGGUACCUAAUCAGAAAGCCACGGCUAACUACGUG
rnacentral:rRNA from 1 species